rnacentral:sRNA from 1 species
CCCCAAGGGAAGGUACAUUUAUCUGGAGGCAUUCCUGGAGGGAGGAGCUCCCUGGGGUUUUACUCUAAAAGGUGGCCUGGAGCACGGAGAACCAUUAAUCAUCUCUAAGGUCGAAGAAGGGGGCAAAGCAGACACCCUGAGCUCCAAACUACAGGCUGGGGAUGAGGUUGUGCACAUCAAUGAGGUGACUCUGAGCAGCUCCAGAAAGGAGGCAGUUUCCCUGGUGAAAGGAUCCUACAAGACCCUCAGGCUGGUAGUGCGCAGCCUCUCUCCACCGGUCACUGUUAGCCUCGAGUUUGACCCUCAACAUCCCCAGAGGAUGCCUCCUAGGACUCGAACCUCAUUUAGUGUCUCUACUGCUGAUGGAUGCCAUGAGUGGAGCUGUCGACCACCUUGGGUGAAGUGGUGGUCUCCAUGUCCCAACUGGGCAGCACGAUGACCACAGAAAGGUUGUAUCUACCCACCCAGCACAACACAUACAGAAAUUUCAAAAGAGCCUAUUUAAGUAGAUGAGCAUAGAUAGAUAAUUCUGGGAGAACAUCCUUAAAAGGAGUUUGGUGUUUUGUUUUGCUUUGUAUUGGUUUCUGUCUAAAUAAACUAGACUGCUUUAA